rnacentral:rRNA from 1 species
CGGCGGACGGGUGAGUAACACGUGGAUAACCUACCUAUAAGACUGGGAUAACUUCGGGAAACCGGAGCUAAUACCGGAUAAUAUAUUGAACCGCAUGGUUCAAUAGUGAAAGACGGUUUUGCUGUCACUUAUAGAUGGAUCCGCGCGCAUUAGCUAGUUGGUAAGGUAACGGCUUACCAAGGCAACGAUGCGUAGCGACCUGAGAGGGUGAUCGGCCACACUGGAACUGAGACACGGUCCAG